rnacentral:tRNA from 5 species
GGGUCGAUAGCUCAGCUGGUUAGAGCGCGAAGCUUAUACCUUCGAUGUCGUAGGUCCGAAUCCUACUCGACCCACAA